AUUGAACGCUGGCGGCAUGCCUUACACAUGCAAGUCGAACGGUAACGCGGGGCAACCUGGCGACGAGUGGCGAACGGGUGAGUAAAGUAUCGGAACGUGCCCAAUAGUGGGGGAUAGCCCGGCGAAAGCCGGAUUAAUACCGCAUGAGACCUGAGGGUGAAAGCGGGGGACUCGCAAGAGCCUCGCGCUGUUGGAGCGGCCGAUAUCAGAUUAGGUAGUUGGUGGGGUAAAGGCCUACCAAGCCGACGAUCUGUAGCUGGUCUGAGAGGAUGACCAGCCACACUGGGACUGAGACACGGCCCAGACUCCUACGGGAGGCAGCAGUGGGGAAUUUUGGACAAUGGGCGCAAGCCUGAUCCAGCCAUGCCGCGUGCGGGAAGAAGGCCUCGG
rnacentral:rRNA from 1 species